GCAGAGGCCAGCUGGGGCCCCUUGCAGGAGCCCCCGCAGGGCCCGCCUGACCCAGCCCGAAGCAGCUGCCCCUCCAGGCCCCACCACAUCUGCAUCCUGGGAAAAUUCCCCCUGCACCUGCCUGUGGGCCCUCCCAGCACCCAACCAGCCUCACCUGAGCCCACACUCUCCUCUCAGAGUGGCUCCUUUUACCCCUCCCCAGGGGGAGGGCCCUCCCACUGAAAUAACUCAUUUGUCUGAAAAACAAGAGACACUAGUAAAUUCUCUAGCCCAGGGUCCAGUUCCGAGUUCCAUCCUCACUUCCAGGCAGCCUGAAGCCAGCCCUUCCUGCUCCUUCCCCCGCCUCGAACAGCUUCUCUUUUCACCAGGACGACGGGAGGACCCCUGAGGGACCCCUGCCUCCAUCCCUCGGGGCCGCUGCAACGGAGCCCCUGGCAAUAUCGGUCUAGGUGUGAGUGUCCCAGUGCAGAGCCCCCUGGGGCCUCCCUCCGGCCAGCCCUCCGCUCCUGGCCGUCAACCCCCAUGCAGCAGAGCCCCUCUUCGAUACCACAUUUUAUGAGCAGACGCAUCUGUGGGUCGUUUCUCCCAUGAUGUCGGCACCUACUCUUCUCCCAGAUUGGAUGAACAUGGAACCACACUCUGUCUUCCUCUCCCUGCCUGGACUUACUCGCCACAUUUAAGCCUUUAUUCAUUUGGAAGUUAUACUGGAGGGUGUAACAGUUUCCUAGGGCUACUCUAACAAAGGACUGUAAACCAGGUGGCUUAAAACAAUACGUACUGUCUUGCCUUUCUGGAUGAGCCCAAAAAUCAAGGCGUGGGCAGCGCUGGUUCCUCCAGGAGAUCCUGAGCGAGAAACCUUCCUGUGUCUCAUCUUGGCUUCUGGCGAUGCUUGCCUCUCCUUGGCUGCUAGCUGCACCACUCUGAUGUCUUUGGAGGCCUUCUCUGUCUCUGUGUCCUCCCCUCUUCUUAUGAAAACAUCAGAUACUGGAUUCAGGAUACAGACUCCGUGAGAUCUUUAAUUACAUCCGCCAAGACCUUAUUAUUAUUACUUUUUAACAUUUGUCUAUUCACUUUUGGCUGCAUUGGGCCUCAGCUGUGGCAUGCAGGAUCUUUACUGCGGCACACAAGAUUUUUCUCUGGUGUGUGGGCUUCUCCCUAGGUGUGGCUUGAGCUCCAGAGCACGGAGUGGCUCAGUAGUUGACGCACUUGGGCUCAGCUGCCCCACAGCAUGUGGGAUUUCAGUUCCCCAACUAGGGAUCGAACCUGCGUUCCCUGCAAUGGAAGGCGGAUUCUUAACCAAUGGGCCACCAGGGGAGUCCUAAGACCUGAUUUCUAAUCAAAGUCACAUUCUAAGGUUCUGGGUGGGACAUGAAUUUAGGGGGAAACCAAUCAACCCAGCACGGUGUGGGA
ensembl:lncRNA